rnacentral:rRNA from 1 species
AAUCAACGCUGGCGGCGUGCCUAACACAUGCAAGUCGAACGAGAAAGUGGAGCAAUCCAUGAGUACAGUGGCGUACGGGUGAGUAACACGUGACUACCUACCCUCGAGUGGGGAAUAACCUCGGGAAACCGGGCUAAUACCGCAUAACAUCUACGGAUCAAAUGCGUAAGCAGCUUGGGGAGGGGGUCGCGGCCGAUUAGCUAGUUGGUGAGGUAAUGGCCCACCAAGGCAAUGANCGGUAGCCGGCCUGAGAGGGCGCACGGCCACACUGGAACUGAAACACGGUCCAGACUCCUACGGGAGGCAGCAGUGGGGAAUUUUGCGCAAUGGGGGAAACCCUGACGCAGCAACGCCGCGUGGAGGAUGAAGCCCCUUGGGGUGUAAACUCCUUUCGAUCGGGACGAUUAUGACGGUACCGGAUGAAGAAGCACCGGCUAACUCUGUGCCAGCCGCCGCGGUAAU